rnacentral:rRNA from 1 species
GACGAACGCUGGCGGCGUGCUUAACACAUGCAAGUCGAACGGAAAGGCCCUGCUUUUGUGGGGUGCUCGAGUGGCGAACGGGUGAGUAACACGUGAGUAACCUGCCCUUGACUUUGGGAUAACUUCAGGAAACUGGGGCUAACACCGGAUAGGAGCUCCUGCUGCAUGGUGGGGGUUGGAAAGUUUCGGCGGUUGGGGAUGGACUCGCGGCUUAUCAGCUUGUUGGUGGGGUAGUGGCUUACCAAGGCUUUGACGGGUAGCCGGCCUGAGAGGGUGACCGGCCACAUUGGGACUGAGAUACGGACCAGAGUCCUAUGGGAGGCAGCAGUGGGGAGUAUUGCACAAUGGGCGGAAGCCUGAUGCAGAAACGCCGCGUGCGGGAUGACGGCCUUCGGGUUGUAAACCGCUUUCGCCUGUGACGAAGCGUGAGUGACGGUAAUGGGUAAAGAAGCACCGGCUAACUACGUG